UAGCCGUUGUUUCUUGGAUCCUCAAUUUACUUGGAUACCUGUGGUAAUUCUAGAGNUAAUACAUGCGACUAAGGGCCGAACUCACGUGACGCUNGCAUUUAUUAGAUCAAGACUAACCGGCUUCGGCCGUUAACUUGGUGACUCUGAAUAACUCAGCUGAUCGCACGGUCUAGUGCCGGCGACAUAUCUUUCAAGUGUCUACCUUAUCAACUGUCGAUGGUAGUUUAUGUGACUACCAUGGUUGUAACGGGUAACGGAGAAUCAGGGUUUGACUCCGGAGAGGGAGCCUGAGAAACGGCUACCACUUCUAAGGAAGGCAGCAGGCGCGCAAAUUACACAAUCUCAGCACGAGGAUGUAGUGACGAAACAUACCGAGGCGAUGCCCUUUCGGGUGUCGUCAUUGGAAUGAGUCGAAUCUAAAAAAUUCGGCAAGGAUCUAGUGGAGGGCAAGUCUGGUGCCAGCAGCCGCGGUAAUUCCAGCUCCGCAAGUGUAUAUCUAUGCUGUUGCGGUUAAAAAGCUCGUAGUUUGAUUCGCGUACUUAGCACGCAGUGUGGCCUUUCGGCUACUACUGUGAUGCGGUACAUUAUCGUCAGUUUGUCGUUGAUGCUCUUCAUUGGGUGUCAGCGGCGGCUGUCAAGUUUACUUUGAACAAAUUAAAGUGCUCAAUACAGGCGUUUCGCUUGUAUAGUUCUGCAUGGAAUAAUAGAAUAGGACUUACGUUCUAUUGNGUNGGUUUUCAGAACGAAAGUAAUGAUUGGGACAGACGGGGUCAUUCGUACUGCCACGUUAGAGGUGAAAUUCUUGGAUCGUGGCAAGACGAACUACUGCGAAAGCAUUUGACAAGAAUGUUUUCAUUAAUCAAGAACGA
rnacentral:rRNA from 1 species